GAUGAACGCUGGCGGCGUGCCUAAUACAUGCAAGUCGAGCGAACAGAUAAGGAGCUUGCUCCUUUGACGUUAGCGGCGGACGGGUGAGUAACACGUGGGUAACCUACCUAUAAGACUGGGAUAACUUCGGGAAACCGGAGCUAAUACCGGAUAACAUUUGGAACCGCAUGGUUCUAAAGUGAAAGAUGGUUUUGCUAUCGCUUAUAGAUGGACCCGCGCCGUAUUAGCUAGUUGGUAAGGUAACGGCUUACCAAGGCGACGAUACGUAGCCGGCCUGAGAGGGUGAUCGGCCACACUGGAACUGAGACACGGUCCAGACUCCUACGGGAGGCAGAAGUAGGGAAGCUUCCGCAAUGGGCGAAAGCCUGACGGAGCAACGCCGCGUGAGUGAUGAAGGGUUUCGGCUCGUAAAACUCUGUUAUUAGGGAAGAACAAAUGUGUAAGUAACUGUGCACGUCUUGACGGUACCUAAUCAGAAAGCCACGGCUAACUACGUGCCAGCCGCCGCAGUAA
rnacentral:rRNA from 1 species